UUCACCGACAUUCACUUCUUCAAGAGUUACAUCUCCACGGGCGUAGUGAGCAUUAUCUUGCACUUGAGUAAGUCUCCAUAACAUGCAUUUUCUCUCUUACGCGUUGAAAUCACGAUAAAUUAAAAUGGAGUAUUAGUUUUUAUGGUCCAUGUUAAAAUGUAUAAACAACUUGAGCUUGCUUAUGGAACAUCAAUUUUUCAAACACACCAACAAAUUAUGCCAAUAGAUCAUAUAGUAACACACCAUCAUAAAUAUAGAACUAUAGCUCUGGAGAAUCUUAGGUAUACUAUCAUGUAGCCCAACUCAAUAAUGUAGACUCACAUUUUCUGAGACUGAAAUAAUUUGACAAUAAUUGAACAAAUAAUUGAUCUCUCCACCUGGAUAAUCAUCAAAUUCAAUAUUGGUAACUGAAAUUGGGUUUAAGUAAAUAGCAUAGCUACUAGAACUCUAUAAGUGACGUUGGAAAUGAACUACAAGGUCGUAACUUUAGAAAGUUGAAGCAAAACUACUUUUAAUUUGGAAAUACCUUCGUUGCAGGAUUGGUGAUUGUAAAUGAAGUGAUAUUCCCUAAUGAAGAAAAAAAGAUGCUUCAAUCAUUAAAAAAGGAGUACUAUAGUUUAUUCCUAAUUUCCUAUUAGGUGACUUGCUCACCUUUUCUGUUGGAUAUUUUGCAUUCUUAUGAUCUCCAACAUUUAUUUUUACUUUCUAAUUUUAUUUUUUAGCGUUUUGUCUUUCUACUCCAAGAAAGCUAUUCCACUUCUCCAAAUUUAACGGUGCGCUUCGUUUUGUUCUAUUUUUUAAUUGUGGUGUGAUAUUUUGUUUUCAUGUGUUUUGCGCUCUUCCAUUGUAUUUAAAACUUAAAAGUCAUUUCCCAAUGAUCGUUUAGUUAUAGUAAUCAUUUUAAAGUUUAGAGAAUGUGAUUCAUUACUCUAGGAUUAGGACUUGGGUUAUUGCCUCUAGCCUUUAGGUUUUUUAAGGAUUUGUUACUUUGUGUUAUACGGAGAUUGUUAUUUUUGGUUUCCGGUUUUCGACAGGUGCCCUCACGGUCCACUUGUCUUUGCUCACAUCGAAUUUGUUUGCUGGAACACUUUUCAUCCAUUAAUUGCACCUUCUAUAUCUUGUUAUGGCGAAAAGAAGGUGUGUGCUUUCAAAGAAGGUUACUGAUGAGCUUUCUUUGUAUUUUUUCUUUUUUCGGGGCUCAUUUGUAUCGGUUGCACACUUACCUUUAGAUUAUUUGUUCCAUGUCUUUGCUUUAGAGAAUGGUGCAUGGUAAUUUUAAUUCUUCUAUAAUGCAUGUUGCGAGCUGUGUUCUCACACCUGCCACGUACUUCUCAAUUCUUUGUUGCUUGUAUUUGUUUUGCUGGGAAUUUAUAUUAAAUCUAUGUUCAAAUGUCUUGCACGGCCAUGUGACAACUUCAAAACGUUUACGUUUUAGCUUACCUUGUCCAUCUGCAACUGUUGUGGCUAUGCCAAAUAUUUUUGGCCGUGAGUGUUCACCUGUUGUGACUACUCGGUCGAGAAGCUUAAGAGGUGCAUAAUUAUAUUUGUUGUGUCACUGUCUAGAUUUGCACAAUUCAAUUUAUCAUUAUGUUAUAUUGUUUAGUAAGUGGUGUUCCUAUUAAUUUUUUUUAUUGACUGUGGUUUGUAAUUUUCAAAUAAGAAAUCAAUAAAAAGAAAGAUGUGUGUUGUUGUUGACACAGAUGGCUGUUCCAAUAUUAUAGGUGGGCUGCGUGAUCUGGGUUGCCGUUACAUGAUGCGCUAGCACUUGUUGCGAAAUUUGGACUCCGAGGUAUUUUUCUCACAAUGACUUGUAAUCCAAAGUGAGUGGAGAUUCGAAGUUCGAAGUGAAUCAUUUCCUGUUGAAAAGAGUCAUAAUAGAGUUGAUUAGUAUGUAAGAUUUUUCAAGAGUAAAAAAAGAGUACUUGAAAAGAGUCAUAAUAGAGUUGAUUAGUAUGCAAGAGUUUUCAAGAGUAAAAAAAAGAUAAUGAAUACUUGAAAAAGGAAAUCGUAAAAGACUCGUUGUUAGGGGUGGUUGGUGCUUAUUUUUAUGUGGAGAAUUUACUUCCACAUGUUCAUUGCAGUGGUUGCUGAGAAAAAUAAAGGUGAGUAUAAUAAAGGUGAAUAUUCCACAUGAAACAACGAUGUUAAUAGUUUAAUGAAGUCAUCAACAAUUUAGGAUAGUAUGCAAAUACAUUAUUGUUUGUCAUUAACUAAAUGCCAACACUUGUAUGUACUUUGUACAAUCUAUCUAUGACUUUUGGUAGUAUACACCAUGUCAGUGAUAUUUUAUCAAUGUUUUGAGGUUGUCUUGUA